UAGGCAGAAGCUCGCAGGUUAGAGCAUCUAGCUGUUAAUUAGGGUAUUAUGGGAUCGAGGCCCAUCUGCCUAG